rnacentral:rRNA from 1 species
UACGUAGGGUGCGAGCGUUGUCCGGAAUUAUUGGGCGUAAAGGGCUCGUAGGCGGUUUGUCGCGUCGGGAGUGAAAACUCAGGGCUUAACCCUGAGCCUGCUUCCGAUACGGGCAGACUAGAGGUAUGCAGGGGAGAACGGAAUUCCUGGUGUAGCGGUGAAAUGCGCAGAUAUCAGGAGGAACACCGGUGGCGAAGGCGGUUCUCUGGGCAUUACCUGACGCUGAGGAAGCGAAAGUGUGGGGAGCGAACAGG